rnacentral:rRNA from 1 species
UCGGGAAUUUUGGGCAAUGGGGGAAACCCUGACCCAGCAACGCCGCGUGAAGGAUGAAGUAUUUCGGUAUGUAAACUUCGAAAGAAUAGGAAGAAUAAAUGACGGUACUAUUUAUAAGGUCCGGCUAACUACGUGCCAGCAGCCGCGGUAAUACGUAGGGACCAAGCGUUGUUCGGAUUUACUGGGCGUAAAGGGCGCGUAGGCGGCAUGACAAGUCACUUGUGAAAUCUCUGGGCUUAACCCAGAACGGCCAAGUGAUACUGUCGCGCUAGAGUGCAGAAGGGGCAAUCGGAAUUCUUGGCGUAGCGGUGAAAUGCGUAGAUAUCAAGAGGAACACCUGAGGUGAAGACGGGUUGCUGGGCUGACACUGACGCUGAGGCGCGAAAGCCAGGGGAGCAAACGGGAUUAGAUACCCGUGUAGUCCCUGAGCGGGCUGGCAAGGCGCAU